rnacentral:rRNA from 1 species
GAUGAACGCUGGCGGCGUGCCUAAUACAUGCAAGUCGAGCGAAUGGAUUAAGAGCUUGCUCUUAUGAAGUUAGCGGCGGACGGGUGAGUAACACGUGGGUAACCUGCCCAUAAGACUGGGAUAACUCCGGGAAACCGGGGCUAAUACCGGAUAACAUUUUGAACCGCAUGGUUCGAAAUUGAAAGGCGGCUCCGGCUGUCACUUAUGGAUGGACCCGCGUCGCAUUAGCUAGUUGGUGAGGUAACGGCUCACCAAGGCAACGAUGCGUAGCCGACCUGAGAGGGUGAUCGGCCACACUGGGACUGGGACACGGCCCAGGCUCCUACGGGAGGCAGCAGUAGGGAAUCUUCCGCAAUGGACGAAAGUCUGACGGAGCAACGCCGCGUGAGUGAUGAAGGCUUUCGGGUCGUAAAACUCUGUUGUUAGGGAAGAACAAGUGCUAGUUGAAUAAGCUGACACCUUGACGGUACCUAACCAGAAAGCCACGGCUAACUACGUGCCAGCCGCCGCGGUAA